rnacentral:rRNA from 1 species
CCUCUUGCCAUCAGAUGUGCCCAGAUGGGAUUAGCUAGUAGGUGGGGUAAUGGCUCACCUAGGCGACGAUCCCUAGCUGGUCUGAGAGGAUGACCAGCCACACUGGAACUGAGACACGGUCCAGACUCCUACGGGAGGCAGCAGUGGGGAAUAUUGCACAAUGGGCGCAAGCCUGAUGCAGCCAUGCCGCGUGUAUGAAGAAGGCCUUCGGGUUGUAAAGUACUUUCAGCGGGGAGGAAGGCGAUACGGUUAAUAACCGUGUCGAUUGACGUUACCCGCAGAAGAAGCACCGGCUAACUCCGUGCCAGCAGCCGCGGUAAUACGGAGGGUGCAAGCGUUAAUCGGAAUUACUGGGCGUAAAGCGCACGCAGGCGGUCUGUCAAGUCGGAUGUGAAAUCCCCGGGCUCAACCUGGGAACUGCAUUCGAAACUGACAGGCUAGAGUCUUGUAGAGGGGGGUAGAAUUCCAGGUGUAGCGGUGAAAUGCGUAGAGAUCUGGAGGAAUACCGGUGGCGAAGGCGGCCCCCUGGACAAAGACUGACGCUCAGGUGCGAAAGCGUGGGGAGCAAACAGGAUUAG